GUAUUCUUUUUCUCUAUAAAAUUUUUAAUUUUAUAUGGGAAAGUUUUGCGGAUUUUGGGUUAUUAAAAAAACCCAAUUCUGUUAAAUCUAUAGUCAUUUUUUUUAUAGUCAAUGUUUGAACUCUCUAUAAAAACUUUGCAGAAAUGUAUUUGAAUGAACCUACCAGUUCUCCUUAUACAAAUUACGCAGAGAGAGAUUAGUUUUCUAUAAAAGAUAAUGCCCAUAACCAUUAAAAAAGUAGAUUGUUAGAUUUAUUUUUUGAA
rnacentral:misc_RNA from 1 species